UGACCUCCCCUCCCCUCAUGCGCUCAGAGAGCCCCGACCUGGAAUCUGCGCCCCUCUCCAUCCGCGGCGGGGGUCCAGGAGCAAGGGAGAAACAGACGUUCGGAGAGAAAGAUGCAGAAGGAGUUGAGAGACGUGGAUUCUUCUUUAGAGCUGGACCCGCGUCAUUCAGGAUGUUGGCUUCAGGGAUCACCCGUCCCUUGCAGCGACAACCUUUUUCACCCAUCAGAACAGCAAAAAUUAGCGAGAUCAAAAAGAAAAGGCUCAAGAGACCAGACUCGCCAAGGACAAACUACCAGACCCUGCUGAGGAAAACCACACCCAGAUGUCCACCCGGAUAAGAACGUUUCAGCUCCUGGAUUCCGCAAAUGCCGCCAGCCCCUCCUAUUUCUCAAUGAACACCAAAGGUCGCUCCAGUUCUUCCCGCCAAAAGUCCCUAGCCAAGCCCAAAGGGCUUAUCCCCUUCAAACGGAGGCGACUUCUAGGCCCCCCUUCUCUUGGGGCCCCAGAACCUCGUCCAGGAGCA